rnacentral:rRNA from 1 species
AUUGAACGCUGGCGGCAGGCUUAACACAUGCAAGUCGAACGGAGUGGCGGACGGGUGAGUAAUGCUUGGGAACUGGCUUAUGGAGGGGGUUAACGACGGGAAACUGUCGCUAAUACCGCGUACCAUAGGAUGAGCCCAAGUGGGAUUAGGUAGUUGGUGGGGCAAUGGCCUACCAAGGCGACGACCUCUUGAUGGUCUGGGAGGGUGAUUGGCCACCAGGGGACUGAGAAACGGCCCCGAAGUCUAGGGGAGGCAGCAGGAGGGAAUCUUCGGAAAUGGACGGAAGGCUGACCGAGCAAAGCCGCGGGAGUGAAGAAGGGUUUCGGAUCGUAAAGCUCUGUUGUAAGAGAAGCGGUAUCUUAACAGAAAGGGACGGCUAACUACGUGCCAGCCGCCGCGGUAAUAC